rnacentral:rRNA from 1 species
GGCCCGCAAGGGACGGCCGGCCCCUAAAUCUAGUGGCGGACCCGUCGUGGCCUCCUCUGCGAAGUAGUAAUAUUCCGCAUCGGAGAAGCGACGAGCCCCUGCCGUUAAACCCCCAACUUUCUAAGGUUGACCUCAGAUCAGGUAGGAAU